CUUGUGCUUACAACCUGACUGUAAGCUCACAAAAAGUACAUCAAACAUCUGAAAAUUAAUUGACAUGAAAAAUUGGAUACUGUUUUGAAAAAAAGAAGAAAAACCAAGGAGUUU